GACGAACGCUGGCGGCGUGCCUAAUACAUGCAAGUCGAACGCUGAAGGAAGGAGCUUGCUCUUUCUGGAUGAGUUGCGAACGGGUGAGUAACGCGUAGGUAACCUGCCUGGUAGCGGGGGAUAACUAUUGGAAACGAUAGCUAAUACCGCAUAAAAUUGAUUAUUGCAUGAUAGUCAAUUAAAAGGUGCAACUGCACCACUACCAGAUGGACCUGCGUUGUAUUAGCUAGUUGGUGGGGUAACGGCUCACCAAGGCGACGAUACAUAGCCGACCUGAGAGGGUGAUCGGCCACACUGGGACUGAGACACGGCCCAGACUCCUACGGGAGGCAGCAGUAGGGAAUCUUCGGCAAUGGACGGAAGUCUGACCGAGCAACGCCGCGUGAGUGAAGAAGGGUUUCGGAUCGUAAAGCUCUGUUGUAAGAGAAGAACAAGUGUGAGAGUGGAAAGUUCACACUGUGACGGUAUCUUACCAGAAAGGGACGGCUAACUACGUG
rnacentral:rRNA from 1 species